rnacentral:lncRNA from 1 species
GGGCAGGCGUGGGGGGCUGCGCUGAGCUCCAGGCCUCCUGCAGGACGGAACAUGCUGCUGGUUUUUCCAUGUCUCGGUCUCCUUCUGCUGAGUAUUCUUCUAUUUCAAUCAUGAGUGUAGCAGCCCAUUUCAACAUACUGAAAACACUCACCCUAGGGCUUUCAAGUCCCUGCUGUGGACAAUCCGCAUGUGACAGCUGAGACAGGAGGAAGAGGCCCAAGGGAACGCAUUCCUGCUAGGACAGAGCUGGCUGGCUGCACAGUGGAGAGUGUUUGCUGGAAGCUGCUACCAGCCAUGGGGCACCUACCCGCCCAGCGGCCCUUGCAUCCAGAUGCAGAGCCCUGGACAAAGGACGGAGCUGUGAAAACAGUGCCUGGAGGAUCUGAUCCCUUCUAGCAAGGCCAAGAGACACAGCUGGGCUGGGGAGGACGGGGUCUCCAGGCCUCACCAUAGCCACUUAUCUAGACGCCAGCAUCAAAAGGUUCAAAGCCAAGGUCACAGGCUCAUGAAAAAAUUAAGCAGGUAUCAAAAAAUAUCACAAAGGCAACAGUUUUAUGACAUGAAAACAUCUAUCAGAGACAAUAUAAACCUGUCUGCUAA